UUCUGACUAAGGUUUGUUUUAUCACAUGAACCUUCGAUGACGAUGACGAUGUGAUGAUGACAUAUGAAGGCCCGAGCGAGACGAAGAAGUAAGUUGCCUGAUUUCUUUCCAGAAUAAGCGAAGGACUUCAGGCUAAGCUGGGAGUGAGAUUGGACUGGUGCUGAUGGGGGAGAGUUUCAAAUGAUGUAAAUUAAAUUACUAUUUUGCCUCUAUGAUAAUAGAGUCUUGAUGUUUGAAUUACUUAGUUUCUUUUGGGAUCAAGCAAUACACUCACGGUUAUGUGUCUUCAUACAUAUAAUCGGUUCGCCUUUUGCUGCGAUACUCUGCAAAUUAUGCUUUCUUGUGAAAAAUGAACUAUACGCGUUUUGUUUUUGUU